rnacentral:rRNA from 1 species
GAUGAACGCUGGCGGCGUGCCUAAUACAUGCAAGUCGAGCGAAUGGAUUAAGAGCUUGCUCUUAUGAAGUUAGCGGCGGACGGGUGAGUAACACGUGGGUAACCUGCCCAUAAGACUGGGAUAACUCCGGGAAACUGGGGCUAAUACCGGAUAACAUUUUGAACCGCAUGGUUCGAAAUUGAGAGGCGGCUUCGGCUGUCACUUAUGGAUGGACCCGCGUCGCAUUAGCUAGUUGGUGAGGUAACGGCUCACCAAGGCAACGAUGCGUAGCCGACCUGGGAGGGUGAUCGGCCACACUGGGACUGAGACACGGCCCAGACUCCUACGGGAGGCAGCAGUAGGGAAUCUUCCGCAAUGGACGAAAGUCUGACGGAGCAACGCCGCGUGAGUGAUGAAGGCUUUCGGGUCGUAAAACUCUGUUGUUAGGGAAGAACAAGUGCUAGUUGAAUAAGCUGGCACCUUGACGGUACCUAACCAGAAAGCCACGGCUAACUACGUGCCAGCAGCCGCGGUAA